GUCAGUGCUAACUAGAUGAAAUAGAGGUAGGUGUGUGAGUCAGUGCUAACUAGAUGAAAUAGAGGUAGGUGUGUGAGUCAGUGCUAACUAGAUGAAAUAGAGGUAGGUGUGUGAGUCAGUGCUAACUAGAUGAAAUAGAGGUAGGUGUGUGAGUCAGUGCUAACUAGAUGAAAUAGAGGUAGGUUUGUGAGUCAGUGCUAACUAGAUGAAAUAGAGGUAGGUGUGUGAGUCAGUGCUAACUAGAUGAAAUAGAGGUAGGUGUGUGAGUCAGUGCUAACUAGAUGAAAUAGAGGUAGGUGUGUGAGUCAGUGCUAACUAGAUGAAAUAGAGGUAGGUGUGUGAGUCAGUGCUAACUAGAUGGAAUAGAGGUAGGUUUGUGAGUCAGUGCUAACUAGAUGAAAUAGAGGUAGGUGUGUGAGUCAGUGCUAACUAGAUGAAAUAGAGGUAGGUGUGUGAGUCAGUGCUAACUAGAUGAAAUAGAGGUAGGUGUGUGAGUCAGUGCUAACUAGAUGAAAUAGAGGUAGGUGUGUGAGUCAGUGCUAACUAGAUGGAAUAGAGGUAGGUUUGUGAGUCAGUGCUAACUAGAUGAAAUAGAGGUAGGUGUGUGAGUCAGUGCUAACUAGAUGAAAUAGAGGUAGGUGUGUGAGUCAGUGCUAACUAGAUGAAAUAGAGGUAGGUGUGUGAGUCAGUGCUAACUAGAUGAAAUAGAGGUAGGUGUGUGAGUCAGUGCUAACUAGAUGAAAUAGAGGUAGGUGUGUGAGUCAGUGCUAACUAGAUGGAAUAGAGGUAGGUUUGUGAGUCAGUGCUAACUAGAUGAAAUAGAGGUAGGUGUGUGAGUCAGUGCUAACUAGAUGAAAUAGAGGUAGGUGUGUGAGUCAGUGCUAACUAGAUGAAAUAGAGGUAGGUGUGUGAGUCAGUGCUAACUAGAUGAAAUAGAGGUAGGUGUGUGAGUCAGUGCUAACUAGAUGGAAUAGAGGUAGGUUUGUGAGUCAGUGCUAACUAGAUGAAAUAGAGGUAGGUGUGUGAGUCAGUGCUAACUAGAUGAAAUAGAGGUAGGUGUGUGAGUCAGUGCUAACUAGAUGAAAUAGAGGUAGGUGUGUGAGUCAGUGCUAACUAGAUGAAAUAGAGGUAGGUGUGUGAGUCAGUGCUAACUAGAUGGAAUAGAGGUAGGUGUGUGAGUCAGUGCUAACUAGAUGAAAUAGAGGUAGGUGUGUGAGUCAGUGCUAACUAGAUGAAAUAGAGGUAGGUGUGUGAGUCAGUGCUAACUAGAUGGAAUAGAGGUAGGUUUGUGAGUCAGUGCUAACUAGAUGAAAUAGAGGUAGGUGUGUGAGUCAGUGCUAACUAGAUGAAAUAGAGGUAGGUGUGUGAGUCAGUGCUAACUAGAUGAAAUAGAGGUAGGUGUGUGAGUCAGUGCUAACUAGAUGAAAUAGAGGUAGGUGUGUGAGUCAGUGCUAACUAGAUGAAAUAGAGGUAGGUUUGUGAGUCAGUGCUAACUAGAUGGAAUAGAGGUAGGUUUGUGAGUCAGUGCUAACUAGAUGAAAUAGAGGUAGGUGUGUGAGUCAGUGCUAACUAGAUGGAAUAGAGGUAGGUUUGUGAGUCAGUGCUAACUAGAUGGAAUAGAGGUAGGUGUGUGAGUCAGUGCUAACGAGAUGAAAUAGAGGUAGGUGUGUGAGUCAGUGCUAACUAGAUGGAAUAGAUGAAUCCCCUCAUUUGAAGGGGUGAUCUUACAUUCACUAUAUAUACAAAAUGAUGUUGCAUAUCUUAACCCAUAUUCCCACUAUUGAUGAAUAAUAUAAUGAUGUAGGCACUUAAACAGUUGUUCCAUCCCCGAGCCCAACGUGCCUCGUUCAAUAAAUAAAUAAAGGAGAAGAAUUCAUGA